CGGUCCAGACUCCUACGGGAGGCAGCAGUGGGGAAUAUUGGACAAUGGGCGCAAGCCUGAUCCAGCAAUGCCGCGUGUGUGAAGAAGGCCUUCGGGUUGUAAAGCACUUUAAGUUGGGAGGAAAAGCUUAGGGUUAAUAGCCUUAAGUGUUGACGUUACCAACAGAAUAAGCACCGGCUAACUCCGUGCCAGCAGCCGCGGUAAA
rnacentral:rRNA from 1 species